CAGGGAGGCAAGGAUGGGGGAACCCUCAGGGCCUUGUCACAAGCAAUGAGCCGCCUCUGCUCUGUCCCGAGGGCAGUGGGGAGCCACGGAGGGUCUCAGCAGACAGACACGAGGACAGGAAGAAAGCUGCAAAGCACUGACUCGAGCGCCUCCAGGUGGACAUCUGCUUGGGCUUCCCUUGGGCAAACACCUAGGCGUGCGGCCGCUGUCAUCUGCUCAGGCAUCUUUCCCUCAUACAGACUGCCAAAUGGUUGCGGCUUGGCUGUACCAUUUCGCAUCCCUGCCGGCGCAGUGCCUGUGCUGCUUGAUUUUGAAGCCCCCCUCCCCAUCUGGCAGUGGAGCUCUGCACCUCAGCCCCUUGGGGAUUCUGGGAGACAG
rnacentral:lncRNA from 1 species